rnacentral:tRNA from 1 species
GGAUAAUAGUUAAAUAUAACAUUUAAUUUGCACUUAAAAAAUAUUGAUUAAUCAAUUUAUCUU